rnacentral:rRNA from 1 species
AUUGAACGCUGGCGGCAGGCUUAACACAUGCAAGUCGAGCGGGGGGAGGUAGCUUGCUACCUAACCUAGCGGCGGACGGGUGAGUAAUGCUUAGGAAUCUGCCUAUUAGUGGGGGACAACAUUUCGAAAGGGAUGCUAAUACCGCAUACGCCCUAAGGGGGAAAGCAGGGGAUCUUCGGACCUUGCGCUAAUAGAUGAGCCUAAGUCGGAUUAGCUAGUUGGUGGGGUAAAGGCCUACCAAGGCGACGAUCUGUAGCGGGUCUGAGAGGACGAUCCGCCACACUGGGACUGAGACACGGCCCAGACUCCUACGGGAGGCAGCAGUGGGGAAUAUUGGACAAUGGGGGGAACCCUGAUCCAGCCAUGCCGAGUGUGUGAAGAAGGCCUUUUGGUUGUAAAGCACUUUAAGCGAGGAGGAGGCUACCGAGAUUAAUACUCUUGGAUAGUGGACGUUACUCGCAGAAUAAGCACCGGCUAACUCUGUGCCAGCCGCCGCGGUAAAAC